rnacentral:rRNA from 1 species
GGCGUGCCUAACACAUGCAAGUCGCGCGAGAAAGCCCCUUCGGGGGUAAGUAAAGCGGCGGACGGGUGAGUAACGCGUGGACAACCUACCCCGGGGUUGGGGAUAACCCUGCGAAAGCGGGGCUAAUACCGAAUACGCUGUUCUCUUCCUGGGUGAUUUGUUUCACCGAGGAAGGGAAUGGGAAAGGUGGCCUCUGUAUCAAGCUACCGCCCCGGGAUGGGUUCGCGUCCCAUUAGCUUGUUGGUGGGGUCAAGGCCUACCAAGGCGACGAUGGGUAGCCGGCCUGAGAGGGUGAUCGGCCACACUGGGACUGGAACACGGCCCAGACUCCUACGGGAGGCAGCAGUGGGGAAUCUUGGGCAAUGGGCGCAAGCCUGACCCAGCGACGCCGCGUGUGGGAAGAAGGCCUUCGGGUCGUAAACCACUGUCAGGAGGGAAGAAAAGCAGUUUCCGAACAGGGAGCUGUGUUGACGGUACCUCCAGAGGAAGCACCGGCCAACUCCGUGCCAGCAGCCGCGGUAAUACGGAGGGUGCAAGCGUUAUUCGGAAUCACUGGGCGUAAAGCGCGCGUAGGCGGCAGCGCAAGUCAGAUGUGAAAGCCCUCGGCUAAACCGAGGAAUUGCAUCUGAAACUGCGUAGCUAGAGUUCGGGGAGAGGGGUGGCGGAACUCCCGGUGUAGGGGGUGAAAUCCGUAGAUAUCGGGAGGAACACCAGAGGCGAAGGCGGCCGCCUGGACCGAAACUGACGCUGAGGCGCGAAAGCGUGGGUAGCAAACAGGAUUAGAUACCCUGGUAGUCCACGCCGUAAACAUUGGGCGCUAGAUGCUGGGGGCGUUAGAGCCUUCGGUGUCGCAGCUAACGCGUUA